rnacentral:rRNA from 1 species
AACGAACGCUGGCGGCAUGCCUAACACAUGCAAGUCGAACGAUUGCCUUCGGGUGAUAGUGGCGCACGGGUGCGUAACGCGUGGGAAUCUGCCCUUAGGUUCGGAAUAACAGCUGGAAACGGCUGCUAAUACCGGACGAUAUCGCGAGAUCAAAGAUUUAUCGCCUGAGGAUGAGCCCGCGUUGGAUUAGGUAGUUGGUGGGGUAAAGGCCUACCAAGCCGACGAUCCAUAGCUGGUCUGAGAGGAUGAUCAGCCACACUGGGACUGAGACACGGCCCAGACUCCUACGGGAGGCAGCAGUGGGGAAUAUUGGACAAUGGGCGCAAGCCUGAUCCAGCAAUGCCGUGUGAGUGAUGAAGGCCCUAGGGCUGUAAAGCUCUUUUACCCGGGAAGAUAAUGACUGUACCGGGAGAAUAAGCCCCGGCUAACUCCGUG